UCCAGACUCCUACGGGAGGCAGCAGUGGGGAAUAUUGCACAAUGGGGGGAACCCUGAUGCAGCGACGCCGCGUGGGUGAAGAAGUCAUUCGUGACGUAAAGCCCUAUCAGCAGGGAAGAAAAUGACGGUACCUGACUAAGAAGCCCCGGCUAACUACGUGCCAGCAGCCGCGGUAAUACGUAGGAGGCAAGCGUUAUCCGGAAUGACUGGGCGUAAAGGGUGCGUAGGUGGUUUGACAAGUUGGUAGCGUAACUCCGAGGCUUAACCUCGGCACUACUACCAAAACUGUUGGACUCGAGUGCAGGAGGGGCAAAUGGAAUUCCUAGUGUAGCGGUGGAAUGCGUAGAUAUUAGGAGGAACACCAGUGGCGAAGGCGAUUUGCUGGACUGUAACUGACACUGAGGCACGAAAGCGUGGGGAGCAAACAGGAUUAGAUACCCGAGUA
rnacentral:rRNA from 1 species